AAACAAACUACUUAAGUAGUAAUUUAAGGUAUUUUUACUUAAGGACUUUACACAACUGCCAAUUGCCCAGAGACAACACGUUGUGCUAUGUCCCCAGAUGCCAUGUGGACAUUUUUUGUCAAGUCUGCAUAUGGGUGCAACGCAAGCACAUUUUUCUCGCAAAUAGGAGUGAAAAUGGGCUUCCAUAAAGUUGGUGCAAACUUCCAAUGCAUUUCAACAAUAUGGCCAGGAAUGGAUUACUUGCGACAGUUUAUCUUCCGCUGCCUGUCAACCGUCAAACCACUGGUGUUGGCUACAUACAAAAGCUGGUGGAUUUGUUGUUCAGCAGCAUCUAGGAACCCUCCUACCAUAUCAGGAGCUGUUAGACACCAGUCCCACUUCAGAGGACACUUGAAUCAGUUUCAGAAUAACGCUGUAACGUAACAAUGUGGAAAAAGUGAAGGGGUCUGAAUACUUWKCGAAUGCCAUGAAGAAGCCAAAGUUGGGCUCCUUCAUGACCAGUAUUUGUGACGAGGGGCCUGGAGCUGUUCUACACUGCCAUGCCCAUCAGGUGUUGGCAAACACCUCCGAAGGGACAAAAGAUGGCCAGAAGAGAUGCUUUUGGAAUCCUCUGACUCAAAGACAGGUUGAUACUGUUGUGUGAAUUGGGAGAGACCUUGCAUUAAAAUGAUACUAGUA